AAAAAAAAAACUCAAAUAAAUUACCCUCGAAAACGAAAAACUAGUCAUCGUCUUUCCCCUUCAGCGGUGUUAGGGUUUGCAGAGUUGCUCUUGUUCAAUCGCAGCGUCUUCAUUUUCUACUAAUUACACCACACAAUUUAUCAAUUCACCUCAACUCGAAAAAUCCACAUAUAUUCACCGCAUCGUGCGGAGCCUCGUUACGAAAAAAUUUCAUUGUAACUAAAUUGGAAGUUAUGGGUCAUAAAGAAGAGAAAAGUAGCAAUGUGAAGAAAAUAAAUUCAGCAUGUGAUGUUGAUGCUUUGAAAAAGUGUUUGGAAGAGAACAAAGGGAACUAUGUUAAAUGCCAGUCACAAAUUGAGGCUUUCAAAUCAUCAUGCUCUGUCAAGAAACCAAAUCCUUCUCUUGAUUCUUCACCACCACUCAAGACUCGAAGUGUUUGAUAUUAUUAUGUAUUAGAUUACUUUAAUUUUGAUUUUGAUUAUGAUUGUAAUAUUGAAGGGGAAUAAAAUGAAAUUAACUUUGUGUCUCUAUAAACUUAUCAUAAAGCUGCAUUAAUAUGUACUACUUUGUGACAAAAUAGAAUGUUCGCUCAAGUUGUAGCUUUGCACAAUUAUAUAUUUAUAAUGAGUUUAAUAUUU